ACGUCGAGAACUGGAAGUACAGAAGAGACAGGAAGGAGAAACAGGACGAAGAAGAAGCCGCUUCCGCCAUUUCUCCAGAUAACGACGAUCUGUCCACACUCACUCCUCCUCCCGCCAGUACGUCCGCCGUCUAAGCGUCUGUCUAUAACAGCGCUAGAAACAAGUCAAUGAAUCAAUAAAUAAUCAAAUGGAUGAAUGGAGAAACACGUAGAAUGAUGUAUGAAUAAAUUUUUUGGACGUA